rnacentral:tRNA from 1 species
GCUCAUAUAGCUCAGUUGGUAGAGCGCAUCCUUGGUAAGGAUGAGGUCACCAGUUCGAUUCCGGUUAUGAGCACCA